UACGGAGGGUGCAAACGUUGCUCGGAAUUAUUGGGCGUAAAGCGCACGUAGGCGGUUUGUUAAGUCGGAUGUGAAAGCCCUGGGCUCAACUCAGGAAGUGCAUUCGAAACUGACAGACUUGAAUAUGGAAGAGGGUCGCGGAAUUCCCGGUGUAGAGGUGAAAUUCGUAGAUAUCGAGAGGAACACCUGUGGCGAAGGCGGCCAACUGGACGAGUACUGACGCUGAGACACGAAAGCGUGGGGAGCAAACAGG
rnacentral:rRNA from 1 species